GACGAACGCUGGCGGCGUGCCUAACACAUGCAAGUCGAGCGAUCUUCUUCGGAAGAGAGCGGCGGACGGGUGAGUAACGCGUGGGUAACCUGCCCUGUACACACGGAUAACAUACCGAAAGGUAUGCUAAUACGAGAUAAUAUGCUUUUAUCGCAUGGUAGAAGUAUCAAAGCUCCGGCGGUACAGGAUGGACCCGCGUCUGAUUAGCUAGUUGGUAAGGUAACGGCUUACCAAGGCGACGAUCAGUAGCCGACCUGAGAGGGUGAUCGGCCACGUUGGAACUGAGACACGGUCCAAACUCCUACGGGAGGCAGCAGUGGGGAAUAUUGCACAAUGGGCGAAAGCCUGAUGCAGCAACGCCGCGUGAGCGAUGAAGGCCUUCGGGUCGUAAAGCUCUGUCCUCAAGGAAGAUAAUGACGGUACUUGAGGAGGAAGCCCCGGCUAACUACGUGCCAGCCGCCGCCGUAAUAC
rnacentral:rRNA from 1 species